GCUAAACAGCUAGCUUAACUACCAAAAUAACCAAAACAACAUUAAAACACUUUACUUAAACCACAAUAUGCCAAACUAAAACAUUCUACCGCCCCAGUAUGUGAGACAGAAAAGGCACUAACCCCAAAGCCAUAGAAAAAGUACCGCAAGGGAACGCUGAAAGAGAAAUGAAACAACUCAUUUAAGCAUAAUAAAGCAGAGACUAACCCUCGUACCUUUUGCAUCAUGAUUUAGCCAGCCCCCCUGAGCAAAGCGUGCUUUAGUUCAAAGCCCCGAAACUAAGUGAGCUACCCCGAGACAGCCUAUUAAUUAGGGCCAACCCGUCUCUGUGGCAAAAGAGUGGGAAGAGCUCCGGGUAGAGGUGACAAACCUACCGAACUUAGUUAUAGCUGGUUGCCUAAGAAAUGAAUAGAAGUUCAGCCUCGCGCUCCUCAACUCAUAGAUAUUUUUUAAAUUACGAGCCAGAGAAACGUGCGACAGUCAGUCAGAGGGGGUACAGCCCCUCUGAAACAGGAUACAACCUCACCAGGUGGUUAAAGAUUAUAUUAAAUAAGAUAUGCCGCUCUAGUGGGCCUAAAAGCAGCCACCUAGGCAGAAAGCGUUAAAGCUCCGGCGGAUCAAAAAUCCAUUAUCCAAAUAUUAUAUCUAAAACCCCUAAUUAUAUUAGGCCGCUCCAUGCCUACAUGGAAGAGAUACUGCUAAAAUGAGUAAUAAGAAGGAACCCCCUUCUCCAAGCCUACGUGUAUGCUAGACCGGACCCCCCACUAGCAAUUACCGAGCCCAAUCAAAGAGGGCAAUGUGACCAUAUCAAAAACCAAGAAAUUCUCACAUAACCCAAUCGUUAACCCCACACCGGAAGGCCAAACUAAGGAAAGACUAAAAGAAAAGGAAGGAACUCGGCAAACAUAAGCCUCGCCUGUUUACCAAAAACAUCGCCUCCUGCAAAAAUCAAUGUAUAGGAGGUCUUGCCUGCCCAGUGACAAGUUAAACGGCCGCGGUAUUUUGACCGUGCGAAGGUAGCGCAAUCACUUGUCUUUUAAAUGAAGACCUGUAUGAAUGGUGGAACGAGGGCUUAACUGUCUCCCUUUUCAAGUCAAUGAAAUUGAUCUGCCCGUGCAGAAGCGGACAUACAAAUACAAGACGAGAAGACCCUUUGGAGCUUAAGAUACAAGAUCAACUAUGUCAAGAACCCCAAAAUUACGUUAAACUAAAUAGCUAACUGAUCCCUAUCUUCGGUUGGGGCGACCACGGGAGAAAAUAAAGCUCCCAUGCGGACUGGGGUUAUACCCUAAAACCAAGAAAGACAUCUCUAAGUCACAGAACAUCUGACCAUAAAGAUCCGGCCUAACCCGCCGACCAACGGACCAAGUUACCCUAGGGAUAACAGCGCAAUCCCCUUUCAGAGUCCAUAUCGACAAGGGGGUUUACGACCUCGAUGUUGGAUCAGGACAUCCUAAUGGUGCAGCCGCUAUUAAGGGUUCGUUUGUUCAACGAUUAAAGUCCUACGUGAUCUGAGUUCAGACCGGAGCAAUCCAGGUCAGUUUCUAUCUGUAAUGCCACUCUUCCUAGUACGAAAGGACCGGAAAAAGGGGGCCCAUAUUAUAAAUACGCCCCACCCUAACUUAAUGACAUCAACUAAAUUAAACAAAAGGAGGGCAUAACCCCACAUCAAGAUAAGAUU
rnacentral:rRNA from 1 species